ensembl:miRNA mdo-mir-200b mdo-mir-200b
CCAUCUUACUGGGCAGCAUUGGAUGGUGUCUGUGUUUCUAAUACUGCCUGGUAAUGAUGAUGAUGGGG